rnacentral:rRNA from 1 species
UACGAGGGGGGCAAAUGUUGUUCGGAAUCACUGGGCGUAAAGGGAGCGUAGGCGGGUUUUUAAGUCAGGUGUUUAAUCCCGGGGCCCAACCCCGGACAGGCACUUGAAACUGGGAAUCUUGAAUAGUGGAGAGGUCAGUGGAAUUGGGGGUGUAGCGGUGGAAUGCGUAGAGAUCCCCAAGAACACCAGUUGCGAAGGCGGCUGACUGGACACAUAUUGACGCUGAGGCUCGAAAGCAUGGGGGAGCAAACAGG